CAAGGAAUUUUCCCCAAUGGGCGCAAGCCUGAGGGAGCAACGCCGCGUGCAGGACGACGGCCUUCGGGUUGUAAACUGCUUUUGCGUGGGACGAUAACGACGGUACCACGCGAAUCAGCCCCGGCUAACUCUGUGCCAGCAGCCGCGGUAAUACGGAGGGGGCUAGCGUUGUUCGGAAUUACUGGGCGUAAAGCGCGCGUAGGCGGGUGACCAAGUUGGGGGUGAAAGCCCGGGGCUCAACCUCGGAACGGCCUUCAAUACUGGUUAUCUAGAAUCCGGGAGAGGUAAGCGGAAUUCCUAGUGUAGAGGUGAAAUUCGUAGAUAUUAGGAAGAACACCAGUGGCGAAGGCGGCUUACUGGACCGGCAUUGACGCUGAGGUGCGAAAGCGUGGGGAGCGAACAGGAUUAGAUACCCGCGUAGUCC
rnacentral:rRNA from 1 species